UUGUUGGUAAGGUAAAAGCUUACCAAGGCUUCGAUCAGUAGCUGGUCUGAGAGGACGACCAGCCACACUGGGACUGAGACACGGCCCAGACUCCUACGGGAGGCAGCAGUGGGGAAUUUUGGACAAUGGGGGCAACCCUGAUCCAGCCAUGCCGCGUGAGUGAAGAAGGCCUUCGGGUUGUAAAGCUCUUUCAGCCGGAACGAAACGGUUACGGUUAAUACCCGUGACUACUGACGGUACCGGAAGAAGAAGCACCGGCUAACUACGUGCCAGCAGCCGCGGUAAUACGUAGGGUGCGAGCGUUAAUCGGAAUUACUGGGCGUAAAGCGUGCGCAGGUGGUUUUGUAAGUCAGAUGUGAAAGCCCCGGGCUCAACCUGGGAACUGCGUUUGAAACUACAAGACUAGAGUGUGGCAGAGGGGGGUGGAAUUCCGCGUGUAGCAGUGAAAUGCGUAGAGAUGUGGAGGAACACCGAUGGCGAAGGCAGCCCCCUGGGUCAACACUGACGCUCAGGCACGAAAGCAUGGGGAGCAAACAGGAUUAGAUACCCUGGUAGUCCAUGCCCUAAACGAUGUCAACUAGUUGUCGGGCCUUUACGGGCUUGGUAACGUAGCUAACGCGUGAAGUUGACCGCCUGGGGAGUACGAUCGCAAGAUUAAAACUCAAAUGAAUUGACGGGGACCCGCACAAGCGGUGGAUUAUGUGGAUUAAUUCGAUGCAACGCGAAAAACCUUACCUACCCUUGACAUGUAUCGAAGCCCGCAGAAAAGCGGGGGUGCCCGAAAGGGAACGAUAACACAGGUGCUGCAUGGCUGUCGUCAGCUCGCGUCGUGAGAUGUUGGGUUAAGUCCCGCAACGAGCGCAACCCCUGUCAUUAAUUGCCAUCAUUUAGUUGGGCACUUUAAUGAGACUGCCGG
rnacentral:rRNA from 1 species